GUCCUUGGCGUGGCUGCAGCGGAGGCCGCGGCGGGGAAAAUGGCGGACGGGAAGGCGGGAGAGGAGAAGCCUGAGAAGCCGCAACGAGCUGGAGCCGCCGGAGUUAAUUCAUGGGACCCUCUUCUACUGCCACACAAUCUCAGUUCCUGCUGUACACUCUAACACAGUGGAAGAGACUGUUGGGUCAGUAGGUGACACCUGCAGAGGUAUCUUCCUUAUAACGAUGCUUUUUGAGGUUGCUGCUCCCAUCAAUCUGCUCAGUAAAAAUAGCUCAUCUUGGUAAGUUGUUUCGACUUCACCAGGACCUGAAGAAGAAGCAGAAAAACCUGUGAAAACUAAGACUGUUUCUUCCAGUAAUGGAGGGGAAAGUUCCAGUCGCAGCGCUGAGAAGCGAUCAGCUGAAGAAGAAGCUGCAGACCUCCCAACAAAGCCUACAAAGAUCUCCAAGUUUGGAUUUGCCAUAGGUAGUCAGACGACAAAGAAAGCCUCAGCCAUAUCCAUCAAACUUGGAUCAAGUAAGCCUAAAGAAACUGUUCCAACUCUUGCUCCAAAAACUCUUUCAGUAGCAGCAGCUUUUAAUGAAGAUGAAGAUAGUGAACCAGAGGAAAUGCCUCCAGAAGCAAAGAUGAGGAUGAAGAAUAUUGGAAGGGAUACACCAACAUCAGCAGGACCAAACUCCUUCAAUAAAGGAAAGCAUGGUUUUUCUGAUAACCAGAAGCUAUGGGAGCGAAAUAUAAAAUCUCAUCUUGGAAAUGUCCAUGACCAAGACAAUUAAAUGAUGUGUUUUGAAAUUGGGUGUGGGGUGGGUGUAAAGUUAAAAGGAACAGUUUCCUUUUUUAAAGAAUGGUAUAAGACUAUCUUUGGAGCCGCCUUUUUUUUUUUUAAAGAUUGAGUGGUACACUAAUAAAUGAGAGUUUGAAAUUAGAGGUAAUUUAUGUUUUAUAUACAGAUUUCAAGACAUUUGCUAAUUUUGUAGUUUCAUGUGAUUAGUUUCCAAAGGUUACAGAUAAUAAAAAAAUCAGAAAUGGUACCUUUCUAAGAAUUGCAUAUUUUUUUAGACGCAAUUAUUAGCACAUUAAGAGGGACGCAAAAAGUUAUUGUCUAUUUAAACUGCAAGCAAUUACUCUUAACUCCCUUAUUACACUGAAGUGUUUGGCUCCCAGGAACAGCCUUAUAGAGAGGGAGUAUUGUAUUGGGAGGAAAAUGUUACUGGACUAUUGACUGAAAGUACAUUAGAUAAAAUUAAAAUACAGCCUUUUUUUUUUUUUCCUAAUGGGCAUUUGUUUUGUUUCAAGUCAUCAAAAACUAGGUAUUGCAUUACUAUCAGUUGGUACAGAUGCUUAGCUCUUGAAAAAAAAUUUUUUUUUAAUUUUAUGUAAAUUGUUGAGUAUUUGAAAUAGCCCACUUCACCUUAACGGGUCUUGUCUACCUUCAUUAGUCUUCAAAGACCAUUUGCUACCAAAGUAAAUCAGUAUUUUGAAUGUGCUUCUCUUGGUUUUUGUUACUAGUUAGUUGCUGCAAGCAUUUCCACCAGAUCUUGAGGCAAAUCAUAAGGAAGCUGUUUCUUUUAAAAUACAAACCACCACCAAAAAUUUAAAUGUACAUAAUACUUAAAUAUGUGGCUGUUUUUAUUUUUUAAAAAGUAGAAACACCAAAAAGACAACAUUGUAUGAAGAUGAAAACGAGAAAGAUGCACUUUCUGUAACUUUGUUAAAGCUUAAUUUAAGUUACUAACUUGUGAAAGCAAAUUUGAUUUGAACUUAAUACAAGAAUUCUUUAUUUUAGGACAGUACUGUGGUUUAUUUGAGUGUAUACAUAUUAGCCAAUGGCCUCUCAAAAGCACAUUUUAGGUACUGAAGAUAAAAAGAAAAUGCAUCUUUAAACAUAUUUUAUGGAAUCUUUGACCACAUAUACGUUGUUAGAUCUGUGUAUUGUAGGUUUUUUUUUUAAUUUUUGUAUAUGAAUUCUUUUUUAAUGUGAUAGUUAAACACAUCUUUAAAAACCUAGUCACAGAUAAAAGAAACAAAAAUUGAAAAUUCCUGCAAUGUUUAAUUUGGAGGCAGCUUCAGACUAUUUUAUUGGUGGGAACUACUCGCCAAGCUCUUUUAAUAAGUAAUAACUCCAGAGAAGCAGCCUGUAUAUAUUCCUAACACUUGUUCAUUUGCAUUUAAGUUUAGAGUAAGCCCCAAGUAAAACAAUGGAAAUGUAUAUAGAACUAUUAGUUCUUACAUGAUUUAAUUAUAUCAAGAUACAUGAAUUUAACUUGCUUUAAUGUAGGCAAACUUUCCACUUUUGUCCAUUUUACUGUUUAUGUUAAAAUAACAUCCCUCUCCUACAUAUUCUUUUCUUGACUCAAAUAUUAGCCUAAGGUCAAGAUGGGAGAGAAAUGACUGAGAUGAAUGUCUUUACUAAAAUACCAAUAAAUUUGUCAAACUCAA